UGGGGAAUUUUACGCAAUGGGGGAAACCCUGACGUAGCGACACCGCGUGAGCGAAGAAGCCCUUUGGGGUGUAAAGCUCUGUCAACAGGAACGAAACAAAUGACGGUACCUGUGGAGGAAGCAUCGGCUAACUACGUGCCAGCAGCCGCGGUAAGACGUAGGAUGCAAGCGUUGUCCGGAUUUAUUGGGCGUAAAGAGUUCGUAGGCGGUUUGUUAAGUCUGAUGUUAAAGACCGGGGCUCAACCUCGGAAAUGCAUUGGAUACUGGCAGACUGGAGUGCAGUAGAGGCUAGUGGAAUUCCCAGUGUAGCGGUGAAAUGCGUAGAUAUUGGGAAGAACACCGGUGGCGUAGGCGACUAGCUGGGCUGUAACUGACGCUGAGGAACGAAAGCCAGGGGAGCAAAUGGGAUUAGAUACCCCAGUAGUCCUGGCCGUAAACGAUGGAUACUAGGCGUAGUGGGUAUCGACCCCUGCUGUGCCGCAGCUAACGCGAUAAGUAUCCCGCCUGAGUAGUACGGCCGCAAGGUUGAAACUCAAAGGAAUUGAC
rnacentral:rRNA from 1 species